CUACGGGCCGCUGCAGUUAGGAAUAAUCUACAAUGCGCGAAAGCGUGAUAGUUUGAGCCAGAGUGUUUUUCAAUUGAAAGACUUUUGUGAAAUGUAAAAAGUUUCACGAAUAAGGACUGGGUAAGACUAGUGCCAGCCGCCGCGGUAAUACUAGCGGUCCAAGUCGCAACCAUUUUUAUUGGGUCUAAAACAUCCGUAGCUUGCUUGACAAGUCUUCUGUGAAAUUUUACGUCUAAAACGUAGAGCGCGCAGAAGGUACUAUCAAGCUAGAGACCGGAAGACGUAAGAAGUACAUUCAGGUAGCGGUUAAAUGUGUUAAUCCUGGAUGGACUAACAAGAGCGAAGGCAUCUUACGAGGACGGUUCUGACAGUAAGGGAUGAAAGCUAGGGGCGCAAAUGGGAUUAGAUACCCGGGUAGUC
rnacentral:rRNA from 1 species